AGGGAAUCUUCCGCAAUGGACGAAAGUCUGACGGAGCAACGCCGCGUGAGUGAUGAAGGUUUUCGGAUCGUAAAGCUCUGUUGCCAGGGAAGAACGUCUUCUGGAGUAACUGCCAGGAGAGUGACGGUACCUGAGAAGAAAGCCCCGGCUAACUACGUGCCAGCAGCCGCGGUAAUACGUAGGGGGCGAGCGUUGUCCGGAAUUAUUGGGCGUAAAGCGCGCGCAGGCGGCUGGUUAAGUCUGGUGUUUAAUCCUGGGGCUCAACCCCGGGUCGCACUGGAAACUGGACAGCUUGAGUGCAGAAGAGGAGAGUGGAAUUCCACGUGUAGCGGUGAAAUGCGUAGAGAUGUGGAGGAACACCAGUGGCGAAGGCGACUCUCUGGGCUGUAACUGACGCUGAGGCGCGAAAGCGUGGGGAGCAAAC
rnacentral:rRNA from 1 species